ensembl:snRNA U6 U6 spliceosomal RNA
GUGCUCAUUUUGGCAGCACAUAUACUAAAACUGGAAUGAUACAGAGAAGAUUAGCAUGGCCCCUGCACAAGAUAACAAGCAAAUUCAUGAAGCAUUCCACAUUUUU